AGAGUUUGAUCCUGGCUCAGAAUCAACGCUGGCGGCGUGCCUAACACAUGCAAGUCGAGCGAGAAAGUGGAGCAAUCCAUGAGUAAAGCGGCGACCGGGUGAGUAACACGUGACUAACCUACCUUCGAGUGGGGAAUAACUCCGGGAAACCGGGGCUAAUACCGCAUAACAUCGAAAGAUCAAAGCAGCAAUGCGCUUGAAGAGGGGGUCGCGGCUGAUUAGCUAGUUGGCGGGGUAGCGGCCCACCAAGGCGAAGAUCGGUAUCCGGCCUGAGAGGGCGCACGGACACACUGGAACUGAAACACGGUCCAGACUCCUACGGGAGGCAGCAGUGGGGAAUUUUGCGCAAUGGGGGAAACCCUGACGCAGCAACGCCGCGUGGAGGAUGAAGCCCCUUGGGGCGUAAACUCCUUUCGACCAAGACGAUAAUGACGGUACUGGUGGAAGAAGCACCGGCUAACUCUGUGCCAGCAGCCGCGGUAAU
rnacentral:rRNA from 1 species